GGAGGGAUCGCAUAGUGGUCUAGUGCGGGCGCCUGCUAAGCGCCUUGGCUGAGAAAUCGGCCUCGUGGGUUCGAAUCCCACUCCCUCCGCCA
rnacentral:tRNA from 1 species